AGUAUCAACAAUUCACUGGUCAUCUGGCCUUCAGUUCGUUAUGUGAUUUUCUCGGCGCUUGUUGUAAUUCUGUUCGUGUUUGGGACUACAAAGUACUUGAGGAUAUCAGAAGUAAAGAAGAAUGCACAAGGCAAUCAGACUGCCAUGUCAAUGUGCUCUCCAUGUUGCUAUCGGCAGUAAGAUGACAUACAGUCCUCUAAAGUUCUCUGUUUCUGCGAAGAAGGCACAGAGAUUGCUUGAGCUGCAGACUGAAAAACAAAACAAAGUAACAGAAGAUAUCCAUGCACAAGCAAGAAAUAACAAGGCUUAAAUAUUUCAAGGCAAAAGAUUAUUCUUGGACUUGGACUGAUCACAAUCGUUGGCACUUAGAGCUUCAGGCCUGCACAGUCUCACCUCUGUGCGAAUAAAGCAUUACCGCAAUAAAGCAGAUAGACAUAGCGAGUACCUAUCCUUUUAAUGGCCAAUUAAUCCCUAUUAUUGGUUUUUAAGAACACCAACAACCUGCUUUGAAAGUAUGUUUGAAAGACACUUUGCUUGAAGCAGAGUAAAUGAGAAUU